AGAGCGAACGCUGGCGGCAUGCUUAACACAUGCAAGUCGCACGGGCAGGGGUAACUCUGUCAGUGGCGGACGGGUGAGUAACGCGUAGGUAUCUAUCUCUGGGUGGGGGACAACUGUGGGAAACUACAGCUAAUACCGCAUGACACCUGAGGGUCAAAGGCGCAAGUCGCCUGGAGAGGAGCCUGCGUACGAUUAGCUAGUUGGUGGGGUAAAGGCCUACCAAGGCGACGAUCGUUAGCUGGUCUGAGAGGAUGAUCAGCCACAUUGGGACUGAGACACGGCCCAAACUCCUACGGGAGGCAGCAGUGGGGAAUAUUGGACAAUGGGCGAAAGCCUGAUCCAGCAAUGCCGCGUGUGUGAAGAAGGUCUUCGGAUUGUAAAGCACUUUCGACGGGGACGAUGAUGACGGUACCCGUAGAAGAAGCCCGGCUAACUUCGUGCCAGCAGCCGC
rnacentral:rRNA from 1 species